rnacentral:rRNA from 1 species
GAUGAACGCUGGCGGCGUGCCUAAUACAUGCAAGUCGAGCGAACAGACGAGGAGCUUGCUCCUCUGACGUUAGCGGCGGACGGGUGAGUAACACGUGGAUAACCUACCUAUAAGACUGGGAUAACUUCGGGAAACCGGAGCUAAUACCGGAUAAUAUAUUGAACCGCAUGGUUCAAUAGUGAAAGACGGUUUUGCUGUCACUACUAGAUGGAUCCGCGCCGCAUUAGCUAGUUGGUAAGGUAACGGCUUACCAAGGCAACGAUGCGUAGCCGACCUGAGAGGGUGAUCGGCCACACUGGAACUGAGACACGGUCCAGACUCCUACGGGGGGCAGCAGUAGGGAAUCUCCCGCAAUGGGCGAAAGCCUGACGGAGCAACGCCGCGUGAGUGAUGAAGGUCUUCGGAUCGUAAAACUCUGUUAUUAGGGAAGAACAAAUGUGUAAGUAACUAUGCACGUCUUGACGGUACCUAAUCAGAAAGCCACGGCUAACUACGUG